rnacentral:rRNA from 1 species
AACGAACGCUGGCGGCGUGCCUAACACAUGCAAGUCGUGCGAGAAAGUUCCUUCGGGAGCGAGUAAAGCGGCGCACGGGUGAGUAACACGUAGGUAACCUGCCCCCCAGUCUGGAACAACUAGAGGAAACUCUAGCUAAUGCCGGAUGAGACCACGAUCCCUUCGGGGGUUGCGGCCAAAGAUGGCCUCUACUUGUAAGCUAUCGCUGAGGGAUGGGCCUGCGGGCCAUUAGCUUGUUGGUGAGGUAACGGCUCACCAAGGCUGUGAUGGCUAGCUGGUCUGAGAGGAUGACCAGCCACACUGGACUGAGACACGGCCCAGACUCCUACGGAGGCAGCAGUGGGGAAUAUUGCGCAAUGGCGAAGACCUGACGCAGCGACGCCGCGUGGGUGAUGAAGGCCU